rnacentral:rRNA from 1 species
UACAGAGGGGGCAAGCGUUAUUCGGAAUUAUUGGGCGUAAAGGGCGCGUAGGCGGCCUGGCAAGUGGAAGGUGAAAUCCCUCGGCUUAACUGAGGAACUGCCCUCCAAACUGCUUGGCUUGAGUCCGGGAGAGGUGAGUGGAAUUCCCAGUGUAGCGGUGAAAUGCGUAGAUAUUGGGAGGAACACCAGUGGCGAAGGCGGCUCACUGGACCGGAACUGACGCUGAGGCGCGAAAGCGUGGGGAGCAAACUGG